UACGGGGGGAGCAAGCGUUGUUCGGAUUUACUGGGCGUAAAGGGCGCGUAGGCGGCCAGCACAAGUCAGUUGUGAAAUCUCCGAGCUUAACUCGGAAAGGUCAACUGAUACUGUGCGGCUAGAGUGCGGAAGGGGCAACUGGAAUUCUUGGUGUAGCGGUGAAAUGCGUAGAUAUCAAGAGGAACACCUGCGGCGAAGGCGGCAUCCUGGACCAAUUCUGACGCUGAGGAGCGAAAGCCAGGGGAGCAAACGGG
rnacentral:rRNA from 1 species